UCUGAAAAAGUCUUUAAUACACCUCUGCUUUUGAAAGACAUUUUGCCAGUAUGGAAUUCUAGGUUGGCAGGUUUUUCCUUCUUAGUACCACAAAGAUGUUGCUUCACUGGGUAUCUUGCUUUUUAUUGAUGUCUGCUGUUAUUCUUCCAUUUACAUUUUUUUUCUUUCUAUGGCCACACCCACACCACGUGGAAUUUCCCAGGCUAGGGGUCGAAUCACAGCUGUAGGUGCUGUCCUACACCACAACCACAGCCAUGCAAGAUCCAAGCCACGUCUGCAGCCUACACCACAGCUCACGGCAACACCAGAUCCUUAACCCACUGAGCUAGGCCAAGGAUUGAACCUGUGUCCUCACGGAUCCUAGUCAGAUUCGUUUCUGCUACGUUAUGACAGGAACUCCUGCUAUUUGUUUUCUAUAUGUCUUAUGUAUGUUUUCUUCUUCUAUUCCUCCAUUACUGCUUUUUUAUGUUAAUUAGAUAUUUUCUAGGGUGCUUGUGUCGAGUAUCCCAAGACCACUCCCAGGACUCAUUAGGACUCAAUUUUAUUAUAUUUAUUGUUAUGAUUUAUUACAACAAAAGAAUAUGAAGCAAAAUUAGCCAAGAGAAGAGGUACAUGGGUCAAAGUCUGGAGGAAAUUAGGUACAAGCUUUCAAGAAUUGCUUUUUAGUACAACUGCACAGGAUGCACUUAAUUCCUCUAUCUCUAGAUUGUAGCAACAUUUUUGAAGUAUAGUCUGCCAAGGAAGUUUACUUGCUUAAGAUCCCAGUUUUUAUUGGGAUUUUGUCACAUAGGUGCCCAGUGCCUUCAUGAUUGAUCCAACGGUUACCAAAACAGACUAUCUUAUUGAAAGCUACUGUUCACCAUAAAUCACAUUAUUUACACAGAUAUCUUGGUACACUGUGUUUCAAAGCUCCAAGUGUACAAAAACACUUUUUGGGUUAAAACAUCCUAAGAGCUCAAUUCCUGGUAGUUGGACAAGGACCAUUCAUGAAAAUAGACUCAUAGGAAUGUGCAAAUUUUGAGCAACUUAAACCUGCCAAGUCAACUGUUUCCUGCAAAAUUCACCCUCUUGGCCUUUGGCCCAGGCUCUGUUACAGGAAAAUGAUUGUAUUUUUCUGAGUUCCUACAUUUAGUAUAGUAUAUAUAUAAAAGAUAUAGUAAUAUAUUAACACAAAUAUGCCCAGCAUGGAGGAACCAGUGUAGGAUAUGGGUAGACGUGAAUAAGCAACUAAUCCAUCCUAUAAAGCCAUUAUUUAAAUCUCCAUUUUUUAAUAUUAAUUUCCUCUUGGUCUUCAGUUAUUUAUAAUAAACUUGUGUAGAACUAUUUAGCAUAUUAAUUAACUGAUGUUAACUACAUCUAGUUCCUCAUGACACCAACCAUUUUCCAUUGAUAACACAUCCUGAGGAGGCUUUAAUUCAGUUUCCCAAUACAUAUGCUUAUCAAUAUUUAUAUAAGGUAAUAGAAUCUUAUGAACAAUGCUGAUAUUAUACCAUAUCACACUAUGGUUAUAAUACAGUUCUGUUCAUUCCACAGGCCAGUAAGAAUCAAAGAGGUAUUUAUACCCUCCCAGCAUAACUGGCCUUUGCCCAUUUAAAAGAUGUGAUUAUGGAUGGGUAUUGUCACAACUGGCCAGGAUUUGGUUAUUUCCAAGUUCUAAGUCACAUGUGUACUAACUUGCUAGGGUUUUCAUAACAAAAUACCACAGACUAAGUGGCUUAAAUAAAAAUUAAUUUUCUCACAGUUCUGGAAGGUGAAAGUCCAAGAUCAAGGCUUUGGCAGGGUUAGUUUCUUCUUUUUCUUUCUGUCUUUUUUUAGGGCUGCAUCUGCAGCAUAUGGAAGUUCCCAGGCUAGGGGUCAAAUUAGAGCUGUAGCCACUGGCCUACACCACAGCCACAGCAACAUCAGAUCCGAGCCAUAUCUGUGACCUACACCACAGCUCACAGCAGUACUGGUUCCUUAACCCACUGAGCAAGGCCAGGGAUCAAACCUGUGUCCUCAUGGAUGCUAGUCAGAUUUGUUUCAGCUGAGCCAUGAAGGGAAGGAACUCCAGGGUUAGUUUCUUCUAAAGACUCUUUUCCUUAACUUGCAGGUGGCCACUUUCUCGCUCUGUUCACACAUGGUCUUUCCUCUGUACCUAUGCAUCCUGGGUGUUAUUUCCCUUUGUGUGUCCUACUUUCCUCUUCUUGUAAAGAUAUCAGCCAUGUUAGAUGUUAGAUAAGGGCCCAACCUAAUGACCUCCUUUUAACUUAAUCACCUCUUUAAAGGCCCUGUCUCCUACAAAGUCACAGAGUUGCUUGGGGGUUAGGGUUUCAACAUGCAAAUUUUGUCCCUAGUAUGGAGACAAAGCUAUCAUCUCUUCUCAGUUUAUAUGAUUUUACUGAGACUGCUUCCAUUGUGUACUGUUAUAUAGCAGGGCCCAUCUCUCCAAUGGCAAGUACAAGAGUGUAAUUCAAUAUGGUUCCUAUUCCUGCUAACUGCAUUACAGAGUAUAUCUUUUUUGGGACCAUUCUUGGGAUGAGAGCUAGCAGAGUGCAUCAGUGCAAAUUACUCUUGCCCCCAUAGAAAUUCCACAAGUUCAAAGGUCUAUAAAGUUUCUAGAAGUGUGACCUGGGUGAAGAGUCAUUGCUCCAUUGCUACUUCCUCCUCUGUUUUACAACAGCCAAGAGACCCUGUUGGGGGUUAGGGUACAACCCCUUUCCCAGCAUCAAAUCUUAGCUUUGUCCAGCAUUAUUUAUUGAAUCUGCCUGAUUUGGUUCACUUAAAGCCUUAUCAUCUUUCCAGGCUGAUUCCCAUUCUUUUCCUUUCUUUUGAAAGGAUAUCUAUUCUGAUUGGUCUGUUCUUGCUAACACAACUUUUUCUUCUGAUUGCCACUCAUUAAAAGUGAAUUGAGUUUGUUCUUUGAUGCUUAAACUGCCACCAACUUCUCUUAGAAAUCUUUUCUAUCUCAUGGACCAAUUCACCAGACAUAUUGUUGCCAUUGUAUACUAAUUGCCUGAGUGUGAUUAGGAUACAUGUUUUGUAUCCAAAAAUCUUGGGUCCCCCAUACUAUGAUUAUAUGGGUAGUAGUCAUACCUAGAUAUAAUUUACUCAAAUAUUCCAUAAAGGCCUCUCCAAGCCCUCCUUGUCUCAAGGUGGUCAUUUCCUGUGGGGAUUCAAGUUCACCUUAUGAUUCCUACUACCUUAUUUGUAUUAGAAACUUAUUGUUGCUAUUUUAUUUAAUAACUUCACACCCACAGAAACAAGGGUAUACACAGCACACUUUAGCAUCAUAGGCAUGCAGCUUCUCUAUUCUAUCAACAGUAGCCUGCAGUCUUUCAAAAUAUUAAGUGAUCUAAGUUUAUAGUCACAGAGUGAUCAGUUUCCUAGGAGUUGUAUACUGCAUAGUUUGGUAGUUCACUAGGCGCAAUUCCUAGAAGUUUCUUCCCCAAAUGAUAUUUUUAUAGUAGAUAUAACCUGAAAUUUAAGAAUUAAAUAUACUGGCACAUCACUAGAGUUCCAUUCAGCCACCAAUAGUUGAUCCUGUUCAUUAUCAUAGCACAUGACCAGAAUGUUUAUCAGUAAUAUUCAGAUUCAUAGUCUUCUGUUCAGCCUUGUCAUGGUCCAAAGUGGGAGUGGUCUGGGCAAACAUACAGCUUCACCCGCUUGAGCAUCUGGUAUAGUUAUGCUAAGAGACAGAAUUUUUCUCUCCUCUGAACCUCUCUUGGGGAACUAGUGUAAUGUUGGAUGUCUUGUUCCAUUAAGCCAUUUAUUCAUUUUUUUUACCUUAUUUAUUUUUUCUUUGUCAUUGAUUUUAACCCAAACUUUUCCACCAUUGGAAGGAAGGUCAGAUUCAGUGAUGGUGCUGGUACAGAUUUGCUGGCAAGAGCAGUAAGAGUCUAGCAAGUGCUUUUCUUUCAGUCCAUUCCCAUUCAUAGAGUAGGGUUACACAGAUAGAGAACUAGUGGGGGCUCUCUUAGCUGCUAGGCAAUACAGCUGCAAACAUUGUCAAUUCCAGUUUUUCACAAUAAGGUGAAAAUAAGAUCUUUUCCAAAUGGACCUUACAAAUUCUAGCAUAAAGGUUUGAAGGUAUAAUCAGUUUCUAGCUUAAGGACCAUCCCUGGUUCUGGCAGGUACUGUUGUAGUCCUGGUCCUGGAAUCACUGCAUCAAAUAGGAAAAAGAAGUUGAGGUGAUGUGGGAAAGAGUUGUCUGGUUUUACGGAAUCCUCCCUACCCUUCCCUCCCUAGAUCCCCUACAAAUGUUUUUUUGUUUGUUUGUUUGUUUUGGUUUUGGUUUUGGUUUGUUUGUUUGUUUGUUUUCUCCCCAGAAGCAAGGGAAAGCUUUAGUCUCUGAUCAAAGAAUGAAGAGGUAUGGUGUGGAGCUCAGGCUUUCCUUGACAGGCUGUGGGCAGGGCUGCUCUAUAGGGAAUCUUGGGGGUGGGGAGGAGUUCUUGCCAGUCUGGCACAGGCGUGUUUCUCCCCGCUCCAGACAGAAGUGCCUGGAGCAUCAUGUCUGCACCCUGCCUGCCACCACCAUCUUGAAUUGCAGUGCCGUGAGCAGCACUUCACACAGCCUCCGAGUUGAGGUGUUGGUACAGCGGUUCUGCCCUGGGAAGUCUGAGUAACAACAGUGGGGGUUGUUCUUUGGUUGCUUUCAUGUCGAAUGUGAGCACAUGUUUAUAAAGUUAUGAAAGCUUUUAUGCCUUUGUCGUUUGCCAAUUUUUUAUUGAGACGUAAUUCACAUACCAUGAAAAUAACACUUAAAAUCAUUUAAUUAAUGAUUUUUAGUAUAGUCACAAAAUUGAACAACCGCCAAAAUCUAAUGCCAGAACCUUUUCAUCAACCCAGUAAGAAACCCUGUAUUCAUUAGUAGUCUCCAUUAUCCCUCCCCAGUCCCUGGAAACCACUAAUCUACUUCCAGUCUUUUUGGAUUUGCCUGUUCUAAACAUUUGAUAUAAAUGUAAUUAUAUAAUAUGUAGUCCAUUUUCAAUUGAUUUUCAUGUAUAUUGUAAGAAAGAGUUCGACUUUAUUCUUUUGCAUGUGGUUAUCCAGUUGUCCCAGCAACAUUUGUUAAAAAGACUGUCCAUUUGCCAGUGAAUUGUCUUUGUACCCUUGUCAAAGAUCAAUUGACUUUAAAUGUAAGAGUUUAUUUCUGGACUAUCAAUUCAGUUUCAUUGUUGUAUAUGUCUAGCCUUAGGAAAUUUUGGUUACUGUAGUUUUUUAGUAAGCUUUGAUAUCAGGAAGUAUGAGUUCUUCUACUUUGUUCUUUCUCAGGAUUGUUUUGGCUUCUUGGAAUCCCUUGCAGUUCCUUAUGAAUUUUAGGAUAAGCUUUUCCAUUUCUGCAAAAUGGGCCACUAGGAUUUUGAUAGGAAUCUGCAUUUAAUAAAAUAUUUUAUUUAAUAAAAUAAUAUUGACAUUUUAAGAAUGUUGUCUUCCAAUUAGCAUUGUCUUUCCAUUUUUUUGUGUCUUUAAUUUCUUUCAAUACUGUUUUAUAGUUUUCAAUAUACGAGUCUUAUCCUUGGUUAAAUUUAUACCUAAGUAUAUUAUUCAUUUUGAUACUAUUGUAAAUGGAAUUGUUUUCUUUAUUUCCUUUCAGAAUGUUUAUUUCCACUGUAUAGAUAUACUGAUGAUUUUCUGUUUUGAUCUUAUAUCUUGCAUUUGCUGAAUUUGUUUAUUAGCACAAAAAGGUUUUUUUGGUGUGUAUAUUCUUUAGGAUUUUCUAUGUAUAAGCAUGUUAUAUACAUAUGGAAAUAAUUUUACUUCUUCCUUUCUGAUUCGAAUGCCUUUUAUUUCUUUUUUGCCUAAUUCUUGUUGCUAGAACUUCCAUUAUAAUGUUGAAUAAAAGUGGUGAAAG
rnacentral:lncRNA from 1 species